rnacentral:piRNA from 1 species
UAGAGUUGCCAAUAUUUUUCAGCAGAUA